rnacentral:lncRNA from 1 species
UUUGAGUAUCUAAUCAAUCUACGUCAGAACCGCCCUGCUGAACUGAUUGCAAAGUAUUUAUUUGGGUUUAUGUUUUGAAGAACAUGGUUCUUGCUGAACGGUUGUUGACAAGAAAGUCUACUUACAAUCUUGAUAUGCUUAUUCGAGAGAGGGUCUGGCAUUAGAUAUCCAAAGUUCAUUGAUGCAUUAAGAGAUUUGGAUGACCAUCUGACAAUGGUGCACCUGUUUGCUGUCUUACCUGCCGUUGAAAGAGAAAAUAUCCAAGCAGAAAGAAUCCACGACUAUAGAGGAUUCAGAAGUCGCAACUCGGCUGUAAACAAUUUGUAUGAUGUGGUGGUUGCGUUUUGAAUGUUGCUAACGGGUCAAACAGUGGAUCCAAUUUUGUUCAGAUUGUAGCUUCAUAUCGUGCAUUUCACUCGCCGCCGAUCCUCAUGGGCUCAUUCCCUUUCUAGAUCUGAAUGGACCACCACAGCCCCUCUGUUUCUUUUACCGCGGUACACGACUCAACAGUUGCCCAAGAUCUAACGAAACAGUCACAUUUGGCCGUCGAUUCUUCUCCAACGGAAGUCCAAUGUCGUUGCCACUAAACACCAACACUACCAAAGGUUGUAGGGAGUGGAAGUAUAGGGUGAUUAGAGAAGAUUGAUAUAACGUUAGUUGGCCGCAGACCAGAGAAGACUUGAUGGAGCUUAACCAAAGCUAAUGGAACAGAAGUUGUAGAGAACAGGAUGAAGUGAUAAAAACAAGAUUCUUUCAUUUAGUCUAGAAAUGAUUUGUUAUUUAGUUUUUUGUUAUGUAUUUUUUUAUGGUAGUCUAAUAUGUCUCAAUAGUUCCUUUCUACUGAUAGUUUCUUUAUAAAUUAAAUAUAUAAAUGGUUUGCCUUUUGAAAAAAAAGUAAUUAGCUUUCUUGGUAACCAACACUUCACUGCCAGUUUUCACUUCAACAUGAGUCCU